rfam:Stereum hirsutum FP-91666 SS1 unplaced genomic scaffold STEHIscaffold_2, whole genome shotgun sequence.
CCUCCGAUAGCUCAACGGUAGAGUGCCGGUGUACUUUACCUGAACAUACGAACUCUACCUACUACCGGAGACGUUGGUUCGAGUCCAACCCGGAGGU